rnacentral:rRNA from 1 species
AGAGUUUGAUCAUGGCUCAGAUUGAACGCUGGCGGCAGGCUUAACACAUGCAAGUCGAACGGUAACAGGAAGAAAGCUUGCUUUCUUUGCUGACGAGUGGCGGACGGGUGAGUAAUGCUUGGGAAUCUGGCUUAUGGAGGGGGAUAACUACGGGAAACUGUAGCUAAUACCGCGUAGUAUCGGAAGAUGAAAGUGUGGGACCGCAAGGCCACAUGCCAUGAGAUGAGCCCAAGUGGGAUUAGGUAGUUGGUUAGGUAAAGGCUGACCAAGCCGACGAUCUCUAGCUGGUCUGAGAGGAUGACCAGCCACACUGGAACUGAGACACGGUCCAGACUCCUACGGGAGGCAGCAGUGGGGAAUAUUGCACAAUGGGGGGAACCCUGAUGCAGCCAUGCCGCGUGAAUGAAGAAGGCCUUCGGGUUGUAAAGUUCUUUCGGUGAUGAGGAAGGUGUUUGUUUUAAUAGAACAAACAAUUGACGUUAGUCACAGAAGAAGCACCGGCUAACUCCGUGCCAGCAGCCGCGGUAAUACGGAGGGUGCGAGCGUUAAUCGGAAUAACUGGGCGUAAAGGGCACGCAGGCGGUGACUUAAGUGAGAUGUGAAAGCCCCGAGCUUCAACUUGGGAAUUGCAUUUCAUACUGGGUCGCUAGAGUACUUUAGGGAGGGGUAGAAUUCCACGUGUAGCGGUGAAA